rnacentral:rRNA from 1 species
UGUAACUCGUGGCCAGAGUCGUGGGUAGAACGGAGACUGCAAGGGUUAGUGGGAGUCACGGGGCGUAAAGGGUGCGCAGGCGGUCGGGGGUGUCAGAUGUGAAAUCCCGAGGCUUAACCUCGGAACGGCGUCUGAAACUACUCGGCUAGAGUAUUGGAGAGGGUAACGGAAUUCACGGUGUAGCAGUGAAAUGCGUAGAUAUCGUGAGGAACACCAGAGGCGAAGGCGGUUACCUGGACAAUUACUGACGCUCAGGCACGAAAGCAUGGGGAGCAAAAGGGAUUAGAUACCCCAGUAGUC